AGCAGCCGCGGUAAUUCCAGCUCCAAUAGCGUAUAUUAAAGUUGUUGCAGUUAAAAAGCUCGUAGUUGAAUUUCGGGAUCAAUUUGUUGGUCGUGCCUUGGUACGUACUUGGCAUUAUUGGUUUCUUCCUUCUGAGAAUCCUUGAUGUCAUUAAUUUGGUGUCUUGGGGAAUCAGGACUGUUACCUUGAAAAAUUAGAGUGUUUAAAGCAGGCAUCCGCUUGAAUACAUUAGCAUGGAAUAAUGAAAUAGGACGUUCGAUUCUAUUUUGUUGGUUUCUAGGAUCGAUGUAAUGAUUAAUAGGGAUAGUUGGGGGCAUUAGUAUUCAAUUGUCAGAGGUGAAAUUCUUGGAUUUAUUGAAGACUAACUACUGCGAAAGCAUUUGCCAAGGAUGUUUUCAUUAAUCAAGAGCGAAAGUUAGGGGAUCGAAGACGAUCAGAUACCGUCGUAGUCUUAACCAUAAAACUNUGCCGACUAGGGAUCGGAUGAUGUUAAUUUAUAA
rnacentral:rRNA from 1 species